GGACACGCCGCGUGAGUGAGAAGGCUUUCGGGUCGUAAAACUCUGUUGUUGGAGAAGAAUGGUCGGCAGAGUAACUGUUGUCGGCGUGACGGUAUCCAACCAGAAAGCCACGGCUAACUACGUGCCAGCAGCCGCGGUAAUACGUAGGUGGCAAGCGUUAUCCGGAUUUAUUGGGCGUAAAGCGAGCGCAGGCGGUUUUUUAAGUCUGAUGUGAAAGCCCUCGGCUUAACCGAGGAAGCGCAUCGGAAACUGGGAAACUUGAGUGCAGAAGAGGACAGUGGAACUCCAUGUGUAGCGGUGAAAUA
rnacentral:rRNA from 2 species